rnacentral:lncRNA from 1 species
AUCUUUUGGGAGCCCGUAGGAGCCGUCUUUUCUAGCCGUCCGCCAUGGCAGGUGGGUGAAAGACCCGAGCUAACAUAGGGUUAGCUCGUUAAAUUACAAUAAAGCCUCAUGCAGUUUGCAGCAAGCUCUCGAAUCCACCUGGUGAUUGGGGUGACCGCGAACCUGGCCUGAGACCCCGGAUACUUGAGUUUUCGGGGGUCUAACAGUGUCAAGCUCCCCACCUCCUGCCCCAUGCUUUCUGGCUACACAGACAAACCUCUUUGGGGCAGGAGCUCCACCCAGUCACUGUAAUUCCUCUACCGACCAGCAUUUUGAUUAAAUGUGUUCUUCUAGUAUAAAAGCUUUAUUAGUAUCCAGUUGUAGCCCCUUCUGCUUUGAUAACUGCCUGACACAUCAUUUCAUUUGAUUUAUUGCCCCACCGAACAUGUGCCAUGAGACUCCUCCUCACUCACAUCCAGACCAAACGCAACAAAAAACUUGGAGGCAGGCUGAGUCUUCAGGUAUCUCCAGUUCAUUCUUUCCAACUCUUGUUCCUCACCACAGGAAAAGACAACCUAGAAGGAAGAAGAAGUCAAAGCAAAACACAAGGGAACACAGACUUGCACUCGGAACACCCUUCAAGGGUCACUGUUCAGAACCCAUGAAGUCAAGUUUCCUCUGCUCUGUGCUGGGGACCUUGGCUACCAGAUGUGAUGAAAAAAAGGAAGCUCAUGUGGCCCCAGCACUGGGAAGACCAGGGCAAGAAGAUUCCCCUGAGUUCCAGAUCAACCCGAGAUACAGUGUGAGACCCUGCUCCCAGCCCCCUAGAAAGUGAAAAGCCUUCAUCCAGUGGCUGAUGGAAGCAGAGACAGACAGCAACAGCUAAACACUGAACUGAACUCUAGACCCAGUUGCAGAGAGGGAAGAGUGAUGAGCAAAGAGGUCAAGACCGGGCUGGUGAAACCCACAGAAACAGCUGACCUGAACAAGGGAGAGCACAUGGACCCCAGACUUACGGCUGGGAGGCCAGCAUGGGACUGAUCCAGACCCCUGAACAUGGAUGUCAGUGAGGAGGCCUUGGCACUCUAUGGGGCCUCUGGUAGUAGGUCAGUAUUUAUCCCUGGUGUACAAAACGACUUUGGGAGCUCAUCCCACGUGGAGAGAUGCUCUCUCAGCCUGGACACAUGGGGGUGGGCCUAGGCCCUGUCCAGGAUGAUAAGACAGACUUUGGG